AACGCACAUUGCGCCCCGUGGCAUUCCGCGGGGCACGCCUGUCCGAGCGUCAGUUCGUCCCUCCAGCCUGGCUGGGUGUUGGGCCGCGCCCCUCCGCGGGCGGGCCUUAAACCUCUGGGCGGCGGCACCCGCACCCCUGCGCGAUCAGGAGCACUCCUCCACGCGCCGGCCCAGGUGACGCCCGCCGCGAACCGGCCCCCUCGUGGGCCACCCUUCGUUUUGACCUCGGAUCAGGCGGGGAUACCCGCUGAACUUAA
rnacentral:misc_RNA from 1 species